CAGCUUCCUUGCUGUCGAGUGUUCUGGAUUCUAUUACAGCUGGUACUGGUGAUUCUAGUUCGGACGAGGCACUUCUUUUGAUAAAAAAAGGGUUGAUGUUGCCAAGGAUAUGUUCGGUGGCCUUCAAUCACUUUAUCUACAAAGGAAGUAUUUCAGGGAAAAUUUUCAGCUUGUGGAAUCCACACCUGUCACUCUGGGAUCUCACCUUGAGUGGAAAAUGAGGAGGGUUCGGAAAAAGGCUGUACGAAUGUACGAUAGAUUUACUACAUACCACUUUUAAAGUCCCUCAAGGCUUUACAAAGAAAAAACGACAUUCAGGAGGAGGUCGAUACAGACUAUCGCAUGCAUGGUGUCCUUUGCGACGUUAUGGACGGAGCAUAUGCCAAGGGAGCAUCGCAGACGAAUGAGUUACGGCUUGCAUUCUACCAUGAUGAGUUAGAGGUAGCCAAUCCGCUUGGCUCACG